rnacentral:rRNA from 1 species
AACGAACGCUGGCGGCAUGCCUAACACAUGCAAGUCGAACGAGACCUUCGGGUCUAGUGGCGCACGGGUGCGUAACGCGUGGGAACCUGCCCUUAGGUUCGGAAUAACUCCCCGAAAGGGGUGCUAAUACCGGUUAAUGUCUUCGGACCAAAGAUUUAUCGCCUUUGGAUGGGCCCGCGUUGGAUUAGCUAGUUGGUAGGGUAAAAGCCUACCAAGGCGACGAUCCAUAGCUGGUCUGAGAGGAUGAUCAGCCACACUGGGACUGAGACACGGCCCAGACUCCUACGGGAGGCAGCAGUGGGGAAUAUUGGACAAUGGGCGAAAGCCUGAUCCAGCAAUGCCGCGUGAGUGAUGAAGGCCUUAGGGUUGUAAAGCUCUUUUACCCGGGAUGAUAAUGGCAGUACCGGGAGAAUAAGCUCCGGCUAACUCCGUG